rnacentral:tRNA from 1 species
GAGGGAAUAGCUCAGUGGUAGAGUGUGUGCUUGGCAUGCAUGAGGUCCUGGGUUCAAUCCUUAGUACUUCCA